rnacentral:rRNA from 1 species
AGCGAACGCUGGCGGCAGGCCUAACACAUGCAAGUCGAACGGACCCUUCGGGGUUAGUGGCGGACGGGUGAGUAACACGUGGGAACGUGCCUUUAGGUUCGGAAUAGCUCCUGAAACGGGUGGUAAUGCCGAAUGUGCCCUUAGGGGGAAAGAUUUAUCGCCUUUAGAGCGGCCCGCGUCUGAUUAGCUAGUUGGUGAGGUAAUGGCUCACCAAGGCUACGAUCAGUAGCUGGUCUGAGAGGAUGACCAGCCACAUUGGGACUGAGACACGGCCCAAACUCCUACGGGAGGCAGCAGUGGGGAAUCUUGCGCAAUGGGCGAAAGCCUGACGCAGCCAUGCCGCGUGAAUGAUGAAGGUCUUAGGAUUGUAAAAUUCUUUCACCGGGGACGAUAAUGACGGUACCCGGAGAAGAAGCCCCGGCUAACUUCGUGCCAGCCGCCGCCGUAACAC